UACGUAGGGGGCAAGCGUUGUCCGGAUUUAUUGGGCGUAAAGCGCACGCAGGCGGUCUCUUAAGUUUCGCGUGACAGGUGGUGGCUUAACUGCCACAGGACGCGAAAAACUGGGAGACUUGAGGGCCAAAGAGGGAUGCGGAAUUCCAGGUGGAGCGGUGAAAUGCGUAGAGAUCUGGAAGAACACCAAUUGCGAAGGCAGCUCGCUGGGACGUUACUGACGCUGAGACGCGAAAGCGUGGGGAGCGAACAGG
rnacentral:rRNA from 1 species